UACGGGGGGGGCAAGCGUUGUUCGGAAUUACUGGGCGUAAAGGGUUUGUAGGUGGCUUGCUAAGUCAGACGUGAAAUCCCUCAGCUUAACUGGGGAACUGCGUCUGAGACUGGUGAGCUUGAGUGCAGGAGAGGGAUGUGGAAUUCCAGGUGUAGCGGUGAAAUGCGUAGAUAUCUGGAGGAACACCGGUGGCGAAGGCGGCAUCCUGGACCGGUAUUGACGCUGAUGCGCGAAAGCCAGGGGAGCAAAGCGGG
rnacentral:rRNA from 1 species